ACAUGGUGCAAAGACUGGCUAGCCAUCUGUAUGGUGAGCAUCACUCUGGAACCUGAUUCUGCCACUAGGAAAUCCUCCUGAAGUGAUAAACAAGACUGCAAGAAGAUUCCUAUUAUAUUAGGGGCAGAGGAAAGAGAGCAUGGAUAGUGGUAACACCUCUACCUUUAGAGUCUUAGCUUAAAGUUGUUUAUUACCACAGGCCACAUUACCUGCGUAUGUUCUGAUGCAGAAGAAUCAGGGCAGUUCUGUAAAGGCAAAAAGCCCUAAUCGGUGGGUUGGGGCAGCAGGAAGACAUGACAAUGAGAGGGACUACCCAGUGGCUUCUGAUUGCCAGUAGAUGAAAGCAUCCUGCUCAAACUCACUCCUGCCUCUUCUCCAGGCUUGCUUCACAAUCUUGCUACCUGCUCUUAUGGAAUCCUGUAUUUUUAUAGAGUUUCUUACAAUUUUAUUUUGAUAACUGUGUAAUUAGUUCCUAACAUCUAUUCAUUAAAACACAAGCUUCAUGGUAGAAGAGAUUUUGUCUUUCAUCAAUGCUUCAUUUCUGGAAUAUGUUAUAGAGCCUUAUGUAGGGUAGAUAGAUUCUCAAGCAUUAUUUGAAUGAAUGAUAGAAGGGCAUGUUUUCAUUAGCACACAAGAUGUCUACAGAUAAAAUAUGGGAAGGAAAGAAGCAAGUAGAUAAAUAUUUCAAACUAAAAAAAAAAAAACUAUUUCCCUACUUGGGGUUAAUGAAUAGAUAGUAUCUCAUUAUAGCUCUGACUGGAAUAGAAAUAUUCACUUUUAGUUAAAUCCAGGCCUGAUGACUUUUCUUUCUAAAGUCGGUGGGUAAUUAUUUUCUUUCUCGAGAAUGAGGGAAAUGAUUGUCAACUCUCAUGCAUUCAUAUAUAUUAUCCUUGACCAAUUUUUAUCUCAGGCCAACUUUUUCAUACAAAUUGCUAUAGUUUUAAUGUUUUUCCCUUUCAAAACUCAACGUUGAAAUUUAAUCGCAUUGUAAUAGUGCUAAGAGAUGAGACUUUGAAGAGGCAGGUAGACCAUUAAGGUUAUAAGCUCAGGAGUGGGGUUGGUCUUUUUUUAUUAAUUAAUUUUUUUAAGGUGGUGCUAAUGAUCACACCCAGCACUUUACACAAGCUAGGCAAGCUCUCUGUCACUGAGCUACAGCCCCAGCCCUGGAUUGGUGCUUUUAUAAAAGGGUUUGUUUAGUUUCCCCUUGCUCUCUCUCCUGCCCUCUCUUCCUUCCAUUUUUUUGCAAUGGAAUAACACAGUAAGAAGGCCAUAUAUUAGUUCUUUGAUUUUGGACUUCCCAGCUUCCAGAACCAUGAUCAAAUAAAUUUCUGUUUAUUUAUAAAUUAUACAGUUUCUGGCUUUCUGUUAUAGAAACACAGGAUGGAUUAAGACGUAAAUAAAAUACAAGAUGAUACACAAAAUAUCUUUCCCAAGCUUGGAAUAGAGAACAUGAGUACUUGAAGAAAGUUCCAAAUGUAAAUUUAUUUGGAAUUUUGGCCUGCCUUAGAUUAUCUACACUUCUCUUUGGUAUGUAUAAGAAUAUUAGUGCAACUAAUUGAGAACUAGAUGUAGCUCAACAUUUUUAGACUACAUUUUUAGACUUCUUUAAUUUAGACUACAUUGAAACAAGAAAUUCUGCUCCCAUAAGAAAUGGGUGUAUUUUUUUUUCUUGGAGACUUAAAUGAGAAUGUUCAUAGUGAUCUUAUUCAGAAUAAUCCUCAAAUAGAAACAACUCCAAUGUCAACACAUAGUAGAUGUUCAAGCAUUAUUUGUUGAGUGACUAGUAAAACAGAUAGGUAUGAAGAACAUAUUCACAUAAUAGAACAUGGCUUAACAAUGAAAAGGAAUCAUGGACACAAGCAAUGAUAUGGUCAGAUCUCACUGAUAUUAUGUUGAGCUAAAGAAUUCAUACUCUAUGUUUCCAUUUAAAUAAAGUUCAAGAGGCGACAAAACUAUUCUAUAGUGCUAGGCCAGAAUUAGGAAAGUAAUCAUUUCUGAAUGGCAGUGUGGAUGGAGGAUUGACUGGAAAAGACUAUGAAGAAACUUGUUGGGCUGAAGGAAGCAUUCUAUGUCUUGCUUUUGGUGAUCUCAACGCAGGCAUAUACAUUGGUGAAAAUUCAAUGAAGGAACACUUAAAAUUUGUAAGUAUAUUAUAAUAAUAAACAAAAAUAUCAAAAAUAAUUCAUGAAUAAUUUAUAUUUUCAAGAAAAUACUUAGCUCAGAAAUAAAAUGCACAGUACCUUGUUUCUUACAAUGCUUUUGAAAUCAAAUUGGAAAAAAAAAGAAUUAAAAAAUAGUCAUUAACUCACACCCUUAAAUUAUAGCAAACCUCAUAUGUGAUGAUUAAUCAGCACAUCUGCUUGUAUUGAAAUUCACAACUUCACAGAGGUAGGGAUUUUGUCUUGCUUACAUUUGUAUCUCAAGCAUGUAGCUCAGGGACUGAACUGACUCUUAUCCUGAAGCACCUAAGUGACUUUGAAGAAGUCUUAACUUCUCCAGGCCUCCAUUUCUUCAUUCGUAUAAUAAAAAUAAUCUCUAACAUCUCCAAAUGUGUUGUAUAAGCAGAACAAUAGUCUCAGUCCAUUUUUUUUGAUGCUAUAACAAGAAACUAAGACUAGGUAAUUUAAAACUAAAAGAAAUUAAUUUCUCAGGUUCCAGAGGCUGAUGUGUUCAAGAUCAAGGUGCCAGCAAGAUUGUUGUUUGGUAAGGGUCCUGUCUCUCUUCCAUAUGGCUGCUUGAGUACUGUGUCCUCACAUGGUGGAAGGGACAGAGGGCACCGGAGAACUCUCACCAACCUGUCUUAUAAGAGCCCUCAUGGCUUCAUCCCUUACUAAAAGCCCCCAACUUUUAAUAUUUUUGCAUUAGAGAUUAAGUUUCAGCAUGAUGUUUGGAAGGGACACAAACACUCAAUCCAUAGCCUAGACCCCAAAUAAUUUUGAAUAAAAAGUUCUACUCAGUAAAAGUAAAACUUUUUAUUCAAAAUUAUUUUGGGUAUUGAAGAUGCUAAAAUGAUAUUCUAAUAUCAUUUU